AAUGGACAGGGGAGGAUGGAAUGGGGAUGGGAAUGGAUGGGGACUGUGCAGAGAAGCCACACUAUGAAAAGCCAAAGGAUACAUAGGAGUCCUGCAACUUCAUUUGAACAAAGGGAGAGUCCACUGGGACAUACAUCUGUGGGGAGGCGGGUGUCUGUCUCGGUUCUGGUUUUUAUUCUAAACUCCCGAUUGUGUGUUGCCCUCUUCCUUUCCCCACUGGCUGAGUACCAGGAAGGUACAGCCUUCCCAAACUGCUUACCACAUAUCCCUCCUUGAACAUGUGCCACCAUUUCCCCCUGAAUUCAGAAGCUCAGGCUGUCUGGGUUCUUCAGACCCACCAGAAGUUCAGACCAUCUGCAUUACACUUCUGUUAUAAAUAAGAAGCUUGACUAGGCCAAUACUCAAGAAGCAAUCAAUUUAUUAAUUAAUAUGGUAAAGUAUGAGCAAUACAGCACUGGGUACAGUGGGGGAAAUUUUCCCUCCAACUGCACGCCGAUAGUUGGGGCUUACAGAUAUUUAUAGGGGUUUUCAUAAGCUUUCUCGGCAGUUUCUAUUCCAAAUUUUUAUGUCACGAUUCUAUACACUACUGUGAUUUAGUUUUUCUCAGGUUGUAUCCCAGAAAGGAGUAUCCCCAGAUAGUGGGGGUCUGGCUUCAGAAAGACGAAAGAAGUCUCCCAGCUGGUGAGGUCCAGGUUCCAGUUGUGGGUCCAUCAUAUAAUUACAAGAACUAUAAAUCUCAUACCAGUGAUGUCCAGCUUCCCUUGGUCAAAACUAGUAAUCCUUGAGCUGAUAUUCAUCUUCCUAUCUCAAGCUGCUUUUCAAUGUUUUGUUAAGGCAUUGAGAUAAGCAGGUUUCCUUUUUAUGUAUUCUAAAGCUAUAGUUUCAAAGAUCCUUACUACAAGCAAUAUUCUAAAAUUAUACUUCAAAAGGUUAUUAUUGCAAACUCUUUUUAGCUACAAGCCGAAAGUUCCUGUCAAACAACAACAUCCUUAAAGCUUUAUUUCAAAUACUCCUAAAUCAACUUAAGACUUAUAAAGGUUAAUUGCAAACCAAGGAUAGGUUCAAAGGCCUUCUUCCAUGCUUUACUUCCUCAGUUAUUUAUUAGAAUUGUCUUUAUAACUGUCCCGUGGUCAGUUUCCACACAUAUCACAAUCACAGAUACACAGGUUGCCUGUAUGUACCUGAAACCAAACACAGCUUUGUAUUUCACACUUCCAUUUGUCCUAUUACUCUACAGUUCAGGAGCUCAAACUCUUUGGGUCAAGUGGCUAGAUUCUGUAACAGACUUGCCAGGGUGGAUGUUCACAGAUAUUACGACCCAUUUAGAAGACAUUAACACCAUUUCUGUGAUAGUAGGGAAGAACCCAACACCCAUUCUUUCCACAUCGAGUUUUUUGUGAAGACAUCAGCACCAUUAUUCCCACCAGGACGAAGCAGUUGGGAUGGGGACAGAGGCAGUGGGGAUGGAGUCGGCUGGCGUGGACAAGGUUACCAAGGGAAUGGCGGCUGAGAUGAGGAUGGAGGCGGAUGAAUGGAGACGGUGUGGCUGAUAAAGGGGGAAGGAGGACGAUGGAAUGGCGAUGAAUGCCAUAGAGGCGGCUGGAAGGCGAUGGCGGCGGUUGCGCAGGGGAUGAGGGAGGUGGCGGCGGCUGAGGGCGGGUGCCUGUGCCGGCUCGUCCCGCCCCGGCGCGGCCGGAUGUCCCUUGGAGCGGAGCGGGCGGCGGCAGCGGGCGCGUGGUCUCCAGUUAAACUCAGGACAUUCUGGCCAGCCCAGAUGUAUGAUCCAGACAAAAUGCGUGAUCCUGUCUGGGCCUGGAGUUGGAUCCAGCUGCUCCUGGCUCCUCUCAGGCUUCUGGAAAACCAGGGCAUCCCUCCUUCACCCUGUGACCCAACGGAAGGGGCUUCCCCAUAAACCCCCACAGCUUCCUGAGGAUAUGGCAGUGCACAGCACAGGGUGUCACCCACUCCUGGAGAGCUGGGAAUGCACAGCACAGGGUGUCACCCACUCCUGGAGAGCUGGGAAUGCACAGCACAGGGUGUCACCCACUCCUGGAGAGCUGGGAAUGCACAGCACAGGGUGUCACCCACUCCUGGAGAGCUGGGAAUGCACAGCACAGGGUGUCACCCACUCCUGGAGAGCUGGGAAUGCACAGCACAGGGUGUCACCCACUCCUGGAGAGCUGGCAGUGCACAGCACAGGGUGUCACCCACUCCUGGAGAGCUGGGAAUGCACAGCACAGGGUGUCACCCACUCCUGGAGAGCUGGGAAUGCACAGCACAGGGUGUCACCCACUCCUGGAGAGCUGGGAAUGCACAGCACAGGGUGUCACCCACUCCUGGAGAGCUGGCAGUGCACAGCACAGGGUGUCACCCACUCCUGGAGAGCUGGGAAUGCACAGCACAGGGUGUCACCCACUCCUGGAGAGCUGGCAGUGCACAGCACAGGGUGUCACCCACUCCUGGAGAGCUGCCAGCUGAGUCCCUGGAGCAGAACUGGGGGUUGCUCUUGCUCCAGGGACAAGCUGUGGGAUGGCUCAAAUCCUAGUGAUUCUGGGAGCUCUUGGAUCCACCCUGUAGCCCUGGCAAGUUUUCCCUUGCAGUCAGCCACACUUAAUUUUGGGUGUUUGUGCUGCAUGUGUGCUCACCCACACCUUGGGGUGCCUUGGGAUCCACCUACACCCUCAGAGGCUCUGGGGUGCCCUGGCUUGUGCUGGGGAUGUAAAGAAAGCAGAGCCUCCUUGGGGAAGAUGCCCCCAGUGAGAAAUGGGGAACAGGAGCUUGUGUGGCUGUGCCCAGAAAGCUGGGAGGGGUCUUGGGAAAGGGGUGAUGGUACAAGAGACCAGCAGAACCCUUCCAGGGAGGAAGCAGCUUGGACAUUCUUUAAGGAAGCUGGGCCCUGGCACCACCACUUCAGGUGCAGGGGAUGAAGGAAGCAGGUGGAGCUGCUCUUUUAUGGGUCCUGCUCCAUGGGAUCUGACAGUGGCCAGCCCACGGGAUCAGCACUGUGGAAGAGCAACUGGGAGGGUGCUCAGGGCCAGUGCUGCUCCUCAGGGCUCCCCUUGUCCCCCUCCUGGGACAGGAUUAGGAUUUGGAAGGGAUGUGGAGCCCCAGCUCUGCUCCAAGCCUGGCACAGCUGGGAAUUGCAGUGCAGGUGCUGCACGGCCCUUGGCCAGACUUGGAAUCUCCUCUUGCUGCCAGAUGAGCCACAUGGCUCCUUCUCCUCCAGCCCCAGCUUCUGCCAGGCCUCCUCCAGCACCCCCCAGUCCCUUGCUAGCUGCUCCUCUUUGGCUUUCAGUACGUGGCACUGGAAUUUCAGCUGUGCCUUUUGCAGGCAUGGGCUGGGAGACUCCAUGUGUCCCCUGCCCUGUCCUGGGCACUCAUGACAUCCCAUGGCUUGAGAUCCUCAAACUCAGAUCUCAGCCCUCCUCACCUGGGGUUUGAGCCUCUCAGUCUGGAGUUUGGGAUCCUCAUACUAGGGGUUGGGACCCUUGAACUCUUGUUGUGCACGAGGGUUCAUUCCCUGCCUGCCAGUUUCCACCCCAAACAGAGGGAUUUCUUAUUUUUCAUAACAGUUUCUCAGGGAGGAGCUGGAGCUGUCUGCAAAAGGCUGAUCCCAGUCUGACCAGCAGGACUGGCACUGGUUUGGAGUAGGGAGUCAGUGGGUUGGUGAUCACAGCCCUGUGUUUUGUUGGUUGUAAAGUGGCUGGUUUUGCACUCAGUGGUGGAUUUUGGGGGUCACACCCGGAUAAAACUGGGGGAGGUGUAGGCGAGGAGCUUAUUUGGAGGUACAGAGACAAAAGGGGCGUGGGGGGACCCCAGGGUGGGCUUUGGGAUCUCCCUUGAGUGGGCGAGGGGGUCGGAGGGAGCCCAGGUCGAGCUUUGGGGUUUUUGGGCUGGAUUUUGUCACCUUGGGUGCUGGCGCCCCCUGGCGGCUGGAAGGACCCAGCUUGGGGUGCUGCUCAGUGGGGGAGGGGCGGCUUUGGGAGGGUCCUUCCCAAAUGGGGCAUGUGAUGGGAGAACCCUGGAGACCCCAGGAGGCAGAUUUGGGGUCCCCUAGUGGGGUGUCCUGGGCGUUGGUGCCCCGUGGUGACUGGGAGGACACAGCGUUUCCUGGUCCCCCUCACCGGGGCUGUGGUUUGAGGGUGGGUUCUGGGGAUCCCCAGGACAUAUUUUAGGAUUUCAGGGUGGGUUUUGUGGUGGGUUGAGGGGUCCUGGAUGGAUUUGAGGGUUCCAGCAUCUGUAGUGCAAAGUCCAGGGCAGGGGCACUGUCAGUCAGACCCCAAUGGACACUACGUUGAUGUGAGGCCCCAAAAACUGGGGGAAGAUCCCCAAAACAAUCCCCCUGCUGGCCUCUGCUGUGUGCAGCUCCUGGGAGACAUCUUCCACCCUUCCCCAAAAGUUGGGUGUGUGCUGGACACCCCCUGAAAUUGGGGUGUGUUACAGCCCAAAUCUGUCCAAUUGGAACCCCCCCCCCCCAAACAAAACCACAAUUUCAGGGGCUACUCCACCCAUUGGCCUCCAACAUUGGGGUGUUCUCGCCCUAAUCCUCAAAAUCAACACUUAUGACCACAAAAUUGGGAGUCCCCCAAACCAGAAACCUCCUGAAAUCUGCCCCGUGGGGGCUCCCCAUGACCCACUGAUCCCCAGUAUUACAGUCUGAGCAUCCAGAAAAACUCCAAAUUCCAGCUCUCCAACCCACUGGCCAACAAAAUUAAAGUUCUCUCCCUCUAGCACCCUCUAAUCCAGGGUGCAAACCCUUAGUAAAUGCCUAAAAUUGGAGUACUCAACCCAGAACACCCCAAAAUUGCAGUUCCUCCACUCAAACCCUCCAAUCCAAGCAUUUCCUACCCACCGUUGCCCAAAACGGUGGUCCCCUCACCCCCCCCCCAAAAAAAACAAACAAAAAAACCAAACCACCCAAAACUGGAGUUUUCCAACACUUUGACCCGCAAAGAUUGUGUUCUCCCCCUUAUCUUUGAGGCUGCUCCAUAUUUCACAGUAGAUUGCCUCCAGUUUACUGGUUCAGCCUUAUGCCUUAGAGUCCCCCAUUUUUGUCACACCCUUGAUUUUGGGGUCUCAUCUGGGGGGAUGUGCAUAGCCUGGAUCUGUGUGGUUACUCCCCACUUUCCAGGGGUUUCCCCCUGAUUUUCCCCCGAUCUAUCUCCCAUUUUUACAAUUCAAGACCCUAUUUUUGGGGUCCAGUCUCACCAUCGCUGGUCCCCCUCCAGUUUUGGGGCUCACCUGUGGGGCCAGGUUGUCCAGCAGGAUGAUGUCAGCCCCAGCCCCCGCAGCCGCCAGCGCCUCCUCCACCCUCGAGCACUCGACCUCCAACCAGCGGGUGAAGCCCCCGGCCCGGCGCACCCCCAAAAUCAUCUGGGGAACAGGGGGGUCAGGGGGAGCCCCAGAUCAAUGCCCAAUCCCUCAGACCAAUAUGGGGUGGGGUAAAAUGGGGGCUGUCCCCAGUCAUUGACUCAAAAUUAGGGUCCCCCAUCAACCGCCAGCAUGGAUCCCCACAAAUUUACAUCUCGUCCCGAGAUUCCCCCAAUUCAAGGGUGUCCACUGACCCCAAAGUUGGGCUUCCUCCACCUAUGACCCCUCCCUCCCAGUUCAGGGGUUCCCCCCCAAACUGGGACCUCCCCUAUGCAUCCCCCCCCCAGUCCAGGGGUCCUCCCCCAUCCGUCCAUGCCCAGAAUACCCCAAUCCAGGAGUUUGUCCCAAAAUUGGUACCCCCUUCAAGUAUUGGUGCUUCCCCACCACCCUUGAAAUUUGGGGUACCCCAAACCAUCACUCCCUCCAAAACUGAGCCCCCUUCACCAAAACACCCCAUUCCUCCAAACCUCAUGUUCCCCCUAUCCCACACCUCCCAAACUGGGGUUGUCAUGCCUACCACCAGUUCAAGGAUCCCCCACCCAUUUACCCCCAAACUGGGGUUCCUGCACCCCCAGUCUUUGGGGUCCUCACUUAGCACCCCACAAUCCAGGGGUCCUGCCCAUCAGGUGGGCAGGCUGUUUUUUGGGCAGGUUGAUGUUCACAUCCAGGCCAGUGGUCGGUUCUCUGACGGGCUGUGGGGGACAUCUGGACAUUGUGUCUGGCAGUGGGGCAGGAGCUGCUGAAGCCACCGCCUUCCGAGAGUGUCCUCGUGGAGAAGGGACAGCUCAGCGCUCCUGGCGCUCGCAGCACACGUUGGACAGAGAAAAAGAAUUUAUUGCUCACUUAUCAGAAGAAACUUCUUCCCACCUAGCUCGGCCCUGAAGAUGCCUUUAGGAUUCAGUUAGGAUUCAGAGGAAGAAGUUGACAUUGACCAGACAGAAUCCUUUGUUUAAAUGGAAUUUAUGCAUCAUGUAUGAAAUGUAUGAAUAUGCAACAGGCUAUUAUUUAUUUUAAGGGUUAAUCCUCUGUUAAAGGUAUGUCCUUUUUUGGGCUUAUUUUGCCCAGAAAGAGGUACCCGACUGUCCAUAACCCUUUGUUUUUAUAGUCUCAUAUUGUCCUAAUCCUGAUUGUCCAAAUUUUCAUUACUCAAAUUAUAUUACUAUUUUUAUAACCAUUUUAUUACUAUUAAACUUUUAAAAUUUUAA